rnacentral:rRNA from 1 species
UUUUCCCUACGGGGGGCAGCAGUGGGGAAUAUUGGGCAAUGGACGCAAGUCUGACCCAGCAACGCCGCGUGAAGGAAGAAGGCUUUCGGGUUGUAAACUUCUUUUAAGGGGGAAGAGCAGAAGACGGUACCCCUUGAAUAAGCCACGGCUAACUACGUGCCAGCAGCCGCGGUAAUACGUAGGUGGCAAGCGUUGUCCGGAUUUACUGGGUGUAAAGGGCGUGUAGCCGGGCCGGCAAGUCAGAUGUGAAAUCCCAAGGCUCAACCUUGGAACUGCAUUUGAAACUGUUGGUCUUGAGUAUCGGG